CUCCGGUUAAAAAACGUUUGCGUCGUUAUACUCUGGAAAACCGUUAUUUUUAUAACAAUAUUAUUUGGUUAUUUCGAGACGCACAAGAUUCGGACAAAUAUUAUCCGUUAUAAAUCCGUAGUGUUAAGCGCUUCACAAUGUAUAACCGUGGUGAUGUUUGUGUUCUUUUAAAGUGAUUUUAUCAUAGGGAACAAAUCGUUACCACGUUAACCACACGCCAAAAAAAAAUGCGAAAAUGAAAAUCGCAACACUAACACCGUACCUUUUAGUUUAGUAAACCGAUUUCCGUAGCGGCGCAAUUGACGUAUACCGUUUUUACUGUCCUGUAGUUUUUCCUUUUCUUACCAGCGAUUUCCGACGCGAUUGAAGUGCGCCUAAUUUAUUUUUCUCCGUGUCCCGCAGACUGUACGAAAAAACCGUGAAAACCGCCG